rnacentral:tRNA from 1 species
UGGGGAUAGAGGGACUUGAACCCUCACGAUUGUUUAAAAUCAACGGAUUUUAAGUCCGCAGCGUCUACCAAUUCCGCCAUAUCCCC